rnacentral:rRNA from 1 species
AUGUUACCUGUUCUAAAAUUUGUUCUCUUGCCAUCAGUGCUCCUACUGGCAUCAGCUUCACGUUUCCCGGCAUUGGCAUGCAACAAUGAGACUGAUCUAGAAGCCCUGCUAGCAUUAAAGGCGGGUCUAAGCCGUCACUCAGACGCACUAGAUUCAUGGAACACAACUACUGACUUUCGCCAAUGGCAUGGUGUCAGCUGCAGCCUCAAUCAUGGGCAAAGUGUCUCGGAACUUAAUCUCUCCUCGGCGGGGCUUCGUGGAUAUAUAGCCCCUUCCCUGGGGAACCUCACUUACCUGAGAAGUCUAGAUCUCAGCUACAAUCUAUUGCAUCGUGAAAUCCCAAGGACCAUUGGGCAGUUGUCCCAAAUGUCUUAUCUUGACCUAAAAAACAAUUCCCUCCAGGGAGAAAUUCCUUGGACAAUUGGCCAGCUACGACAGUUAUCGCACCUCUAUCUCUCAAAUAAUUCAACUGAAGGUGGGAUCACGUAUGGCCUGAGGAACUGCACCCGUCUUGUCAGCAUCAAACUUGACCUGAACAAGCUCCACCAAGAAAUCCCUGAUUGGCUUGGAGGCUUGUCAAGGAUUGAGGUCAUGUCACUAGGGAAGAACAAGUUCACAGGGAUCAUCCCACCAUCACUUGGCAACUUAUCAUCGCUGCGGAUAUUGAACAUCAAUGACAACCAGCUGAGUGGUCCGAUUACUGAGAGUCUUAGCAGGAUCAGUAAGCUUGAGAUGCUAGCACUGCAAGUAAACCAACUCUCAGGCACCAUCCCAAGAACUGUCUUCAACAUGUCCUCGCUCAUCCACAUUGGUCUGGAGAUGAACCAGCUAAGCGGCACACUUCCCUCCAAUUUGGGCAAUGGACUACCAAAAAUCAAAUACCUUAUCCUUGCUUUGAACCAUUUCACAGGAAGAAUUACAGCUUCACUUGCAAAUGCAACCAUGAUUCAGUUAAUUGACCUCUCUGGUAACAACCUCACUGGAUUUGUGCCUCCAGAGAUUGGAACACUCUGCCUGAACUUCCUGAUUCUUACUGGAAACCAGCUUAAGUCAAGCACUGUCCAGGACUGGGAGUUCAUCACUUCAUUAACAAAUUGUACAAGUGUUCGUGGUGUCAUAUUGCAACACAAUAGGUUUAGUGGUGUGCUUCCAAGUUCUAUCGCAAACCUGUCCAGGCAACUCGAAAUAUUUGAUGUUAGUUUCAAUGAGAUUUAUGGCAAGAUACCAGUUGGCAUUGGCAACUUCCCAAAUCAAAUCAAGCUCGAACUACUCUCUAGCAAUUGAUUUACGGGUGCCAUACCAGACAUCAUAGGAAAGUUGAAAAUGCUCCAGUGGUUGACACUCGAGAAUAACCAUAUUUCAGGAGCAAUGCCAUCCUCGCUCGGGAACUUAACACAGUUGCAGCAUCUUUCAGUAGCUAACAAUGUCUUGGAAGGAUAUCUUCCAGCGAACCUUGGAAAUCUACAACGUCUUGUUAUUGCAAACUUUUCAAACAAUGUGCUUUCAGGUCCAUUACCUAGAGAGAUUUUUAGCCUUUCAUCCUUGUCAUACAUUCUGGAUUUGUCAAGGAAUCAUUUCAGUAGUCAUCUUCCAUCCCAAGUAGGUGGCCUCACAAAGCUCACAUACUUGUACAUCCAUGAGAACAACCUAUCUGGGCCGCUGCCAGAUGCUCUCAGCAAUUGUGAGAGCUUGAUGGAGCUCUGUUUGGAUGGUAACUACUUCAAUGGUAUCAUUCCUAUGUCCAUAAGCAGAAUGCGAGGCUUGGUACUGCUGAAUUUGACCAAAAACGCGCUCACAGGUGCAAUCCCUCAAGAGAUAGGACUCAUGAAUGGCCUGAAAGAACUGUACCUUGCACACAAUAAUUUGUCUGCACAGAUUCCCGAGACCUUGGAAAGCGUGACAUCACUUUACCGGCUUGACAUAUCCUUCAACCUUCUUGAUGGGCAAGUCCCAGCACGCGAUGUGUUUGUCAAUUUGACCGGAUUCUUAUUUGAUGGGAAUGAUAAGCUGUGUGGUGGUAUUUCUGAGUUGCGUUUGCCUUCAUGCCCAACCAGACCAGUUGUGCACAAUCAAAGAAUGACACGAGUUGUUCGAAAUGCAGUGAUUUGUAGUGUUAGUAUUGUCUUACUUCUCUGCUUGAUCCUGGCACUAGUUGUCUUCUCAAAAAAGAAAUUAAGACUACCAUCUAUCAGAACAGCACCAUUAGCUCCGUCGUUCAUGGAUGACAUGUAUCCUCGAGUUUCUUACUCAGACCUGGCCCAGGCAACAGAUGGCUUCACAGACAACAAUAUAGUUGGCACAGGACCGUAUGGAUGUGUUUAUAAGGGUAGGAUGCUACUCAAAGAGUCUGUAAUUACUGUCGCUGUGAAGGUUUUUGACCCUGAGCAAUCUGGAUCUUCAAAAAGUUUUGUGGCUGAGUGUAAGGCACUUAGCAAAAUUCGCCACCGCAAUUUGGUUGGCAUCAGAACUUGCUACUCUGACUUGAACCAAAAUGACUUCAAAGCCAUUGUAUUUGAUUUCAUGCCUCACGGGGAUCUUGGUAAGUGGUUACAUCAGGACACAUGUGCACCCAAUCCAGUGAAAGUUCUAACACUAAUGCAGAGACUGAGCAUUGCUGCUGAUCUUGCCGUGGCACUAGACUAUUUGCACAACAACUGCCAGCCAACAAUAGUUCACUGUGACUUGAAGCCCAGUAACAUUCUUCUUGGGGAGGGCAUGGUUGCUCAUGUUGGGGACUUUGGCCUUGCGAAGAUGCUCACUAAUCCAGAAGGCGAGCAAUUGAUCAAUUCGAAGAGUUCGGUGGUGGGAACAAUUGGAUAUGUUGCUCCAGAACAUGGUGAAGGUGGUCAUAUAUCUCCAUGUGGGGAUGUCUAUAGCUUUGGUAUCGUGCUCCUUCAGAUGUUUACAGCAAAGACGCCUACAGAUGCAAUGUUUACAGGUGGAUUUACCUUACUAGAGUAUGCAAAGAUGGCAUAUCCAACACAACCGAUGGAGAUUAUUGACCCUCUUCUGCUAUCAGUUGAGAAUACACGGGGAGAUAUCAAUAGCAUCAUGUACUUUGUCACAAGACUUCUAGAAUGCAGUAGGAAAAGACCAACUGAAAGGUUGUCCACCAGAGAUGUUGUAGCAAGAUGA